GCGCAAGCCUGACGAUGCGACGCCGCGUGCAGGAUGAAGGCCUUCGGGUUGUAAACUGCUGUGAUGGGGGAGCAACGGGCGGAGUGUUAAUAACACUUCGCAGUGAUAGUACCCCAAGAGGAAGCCACGGCUAACUCUGUGCCAGCAGCCGCGGUAAUACAGAGGUGGCAAGCGUUGUUCGGAUUUACUGGGCGUAAAGGGUGCGUAGGCGGUCUCAUGUGUCGGAUGUGAAAUCCCACGGAUUAUCUGUGGAACUGCAUUCGAAACUGUGGGGCUAGAGUGUCGGAGAGGUGGGCGGAAUUCACGGUGUAGCAGUGAAAUGCGUUGAUAUUGUGAAGAACGCCGGAGGCGAAGGCGGCCCACUGGACGACAACUGACGCUGAGGCACGAAAGAUGGGGGAGCAAACAGGAUUAGAUACCCUGGUAGUCCCAUCCGUAAACGGUGUGCACUUGGUGUAGGAGGAAUUAUACCCCUCCUGUCGCCGGAGCUAACGCGUUAAGUGCACCGCCUGGGGAGUACGG
rnacentral:rRNA from 1 species